rnacentral:rRNA from 1 species
UACGUAGGCAGCGAGCGUUGUUCGGAGUUACUGGCGUAAAGGGUGUGUAGGCGGUUUUCUAAGUUUGGUGUGAAAUCUCCCGGCUCAACCGGGAGGGUGCGCCGAAAACUGGGAGACUAGAGUGCGGGAUGGGAGAGUAGAAUUCCUGGUGUAGCGGUGAAAUGCGUAGAUAUCAGGAGGAAUACCGGUGGUGUAGACGGCUCUCUGGACCGCCACUGACGCUGAGACACGAAAGCGUGGGUAGCAAACAGG